rnacentral:rRNA from 1 species
UACGUAGGGGGCAAGCGUUGUCCGGAAUCAUUGGGCGUAAAGAGCGUGUAGGCGGCCCGAUAAGUCCGCUGUGAAAAUCCAGGGCUCAACCCUGGGAUGCCGGUGGAUACUGUCGGGCUCGAGUCCGGAAGAGGCGAGUGGAAUUCCUGGUGUAGCGGUGAAAUGCGCAGAUAUCAGGAGGAACACCAAUGGCGAAGGCAGCUCGCUGGGACGUGACUGACGCUGAGACGCGAAAGCGUGGGGAGCAAACAGG